GAUGAACGCUGGCGGCGUGCCUAAUACAUGCAAGUCGAGCGAACAGAUAAGGAGCUUGCUCCUUUGACGUUAGCGGCGGACGGGUGAGUAACACGUGGGUAACCUACCUAUAAGACUGGAAUAACUCCGGGAAACCGGGGCUAAUGCCGGAUAACAUUUAGAACCGCAUGGUUCUAAAGUGAAAGAUGGUUUUGCUAUCACUUAUAGAUGGACCCGCGCCGUAUUAGCUAGUUGGUAAGGUAACGGCUUACCAAGGCAACGAUACGUAGCCGACCUGAGAGGGUGAUUGGCCAGACUGGAACUGAGACACGGUCCAGACUCCUACGGGAGGCAGCAGUAGGGAAUCUUCCGCAAUGGGCGAAAGCCUGACGGAGCAACGCCGCGUGAGUGAUGAAGGUCUUCGGAUCGUAAAACUCUGUUAUUAGGGAAGAACAAAUGUGUAAGUAACUGUGCACGUCUUGACGGUACCUAAUCAGAAAGCCACGGCUAACUACGUG
rnacentral:rRNA from 1 species